rnacentral:rRNA from 1 species
CACGUAGGGCGCGAGCGUUGUCCGGAAUUAUUGGGCGUAAAGAGCUCGUAGGCGGCCUGUUGCGUCCGCUGUGAAAGCCCCGGGGCUUAACCCCGGGUCGGCAGUGGAUACGGGGCAGGCUAGAGGUAGGUAGGGGAGAAUGGAAUUCCCGGUGUAGCGGUGAAAUGCGCAGAUAUCGGGAGGAACACCGGUGGCGAAGGCGGUUCUCUGGGCCUUACCUGACGCUGAGGAGCGAAAGCGUGGGGAGCGAACAGG